GUGGCAGACGGGUGAGUAACAUGUAGGUAUCUUCCCUUUGGUGAGGAAUAACACGAGGAAACUUGUGCUAAUACCUCAUAAGUCUUUACGGAGAAAGCUUUAUGCGCCGAAGGAUGAGCCUGCACUUGAUUAGUUUGUUGGUGGGGUAAUGGCCUACCAAGACUUUGAUCUAUAGCUGAUCUGAGAGGAUGAUCAGCCACAUUGGGACUGAGACACGGCCCAAACUCCUACGGGAGGCAGCAGUAGGGAAUAUUGCACAAUGGAGGAAACUCUGAUGCAGCGAUGCCGCGUGAGUGAAGAAGGCCUUUGGGUUGUAAAGCUCUUUCGUCGGGGAAGAAAAUGACUGUACCCGAAUAAGAAGGUCCGGCUAACUUCGUGCCAGCAGCCGCGGUAGUACGAAGGGACCUAGCGUAGUUCGGAAUUACUGGGCUUAAAGAGUUCGUAGGUGGUUAAAAAAGUUGGUAGUGAAAUCCCAGAGCUUAACUCUGGAACUGCUAUCAAAACUUUUUAGCUAGAGUAUGAUAGAGGAAAGCAGAAUUUCUAGUGUAGAGGUGAAAUUCGUAGAUAUUAGAAAGAAUACCAAUUGCGAAGGCAGCUUUCUGGAUCAUUACUGACACUGAGGAACGAAAGCAUGGGUAGCGAAGAGGAUU
rnacentral:rRNA from 1 species